rnacentral:rRNA from 1 species
ACAUGCAGUCGAACGGCAGCACAGGAGAGCUUGCUCUCUGGGUGGCGAGUGGCGGACGGGUGAGGAAUACAUCGGAAUCUACUCUGUCGUGGGGGAUAACGUAGGGAAACUUACGCUAAUACCGCAUUCGACCUACGGGUGAAAGCAGGGGACCUUCGGGCCUUGCGCGAUUGAAUGAGCCGAUGUCGGAUUAGCUAGUUGGCGGGGUAAAGGCCCACCAAGGCGACGAUCCGUAGCUGGUCUGAGAGGAUGAUCAGCCACACUGGAACUGAGACACGGUCCAGACUCCUACAGGAGGCAGCAAUGGGGAAUAUUGGACAAUGGGCGCAAGCCUGAUCCAGCCAUACCGCGUGGGUGAAGAAGGCCUUCGGGUUGUAAAGCCCUUUUGUUGGGAAAGAAAUCCAGCUGGCUAAUACCCGGUUGGGAUGACGGUACCCAAAGAAUAAGCACCGGCUAACUUCGUGCCAGCAGCCGCGGUAAUACGAAGGGUGCAAGCGUUACUCGGAAUUACUGGGCGUAAAGCGUGCGUAGGUGGUCGUUUAAGUCCGUUGUGAAAGCCCUGGGCUCAACCUGGGAACUGCAGUGGAUACUGGGCGACUAGAAUGUGGUAGAGGGUAGCGGAAUUCCUGGUGUAGCAGUGAAAUGCGUAGAGAUCAGGAGG